UCGUGCUAAGGUAGCGUAGUCAUUUGUUUUUUAAUUGAAAACUGGAAUGAAUGGAUUAACUUUUAUUAGAUGUAUCUCUACGGUAUAUAAAAUUAAAGGCUAGGUAAUAAUUCUUAGAUAUAUUGAGGGACGAUAAGACCCUAAAAUCUUAAAAAUUAGAUAUUUAUAGUUAUAUGAGUUUAAUAUUUUUAGCUGGGGCAGUGUCUGUAAGUUAACUACUUAAAAAAUUCAGGAUCCCUACAAUAAGGAUAAAGAGAGUUAGAUACUUUAGGGAUAACAGUAUAAUAUCUAUGAAUAGUUCGUAUUGAUAUAGAUGGUUAUGACCUCGAUGUUGAAUUAAUAUAUCUAUAUGGGGCAGAAAAUAUAUCAGAGGGUUUGUUCAACCUUUAAUUUAUUACAUGAUCUGAGUUCAAACCGGAU
rnacentral:rRNA from 1 species